rnacentral:rRNA from 1 species
CCUACGGGAGGCAGCAGUGAGGAAUAUUGGUCAAUGGACGAGAGUCUGAACCAGCCAAGUAGCGUGAAGGAUGACUGCCCUAUGGGUUGUAAACUUCUUUUAUAUGGGAAUAAAAUGUUCCACGUGUGGGCUUUUGUAUGUACCUUAUGAAUAAGGAUCGGCUAACUCCGUGCCAGCAGCCGCGGUAAUACGGAGGAUCCGAGCGUUAUCCGGAUUUAUUGGGUUUAAAGGGAGCGUAGGUGGGUUGUUAAGUCAGUUGUGAAAGUUUGCGGCUCAACCGUAAAAUUGCAGUUGAAACUGGCAGUCUUGAGUACAGUAGAGGUGGGCGGAAUUCGUGGUGUAGCGGUGAAAUGCUUAGAUAUCACGAAGAACUCCGAUUGCGAAGGCAGCUCACUGGACUGCAACUGACACUGAGGCUCGAAAGUGUGGGUAUCAAACAGGAUUAGAUACCCGGGUAGUC